UCUCGUCGCGUCGCGGCGCGCGGUUUUCCAGCAAGUUUCGCGGCCGGGACGAUAAAGUGUAAAAGUUGCACACGCGUUCCGCGGCGUAUUGUGCCGUCGCGUCGCGCGAGUGUCAACAAGUUAUUUGAAAAAUGCGACCGCGGCUGAUUCGCCGGAGACGGAUUCGGCUGUCGCGGCGCGCGACAACUUCGCGGCUGUCGCGGCAUAAACUCGACUCGGAGGCGUCGUCCCUUCCCGAACUUAUUUGUGUUCCUCCCGAAUUACUUCCGCGAACAGUUUCCAAAGAUAUGACAAAGUUCGGCCGCCGCCCGGAACCGAUGACUUUGUCGCGGCGUGCGGUCGCCGACGACGACGACGAACGACGGUCACUGGGUCGUCUUGACCCCGGUACACCGAGGCGGGCUCUACAGAUUUAAAAGAUGUCGCCUGCAUCGCUUGUAUCCGAACGGAACAACGUACGUAUCUUCCUGGACCAAACUACGAUGCACUUUCGGAAUUAUCGGGGUAACGACCAUUGGCGUAGCCGAGAGUUUCGUGCGACAGAGGGAUGGGAACGCUUUAAGUAUCCGAAUCGUGACUAAUGCGAUUUGGGUGGCCCGGGGUCCGGCGGGUGCCGUCGUCGAGUUUCCUCUAUUCUCCGCCUUUUUCCGAGUGCAUUAAAUUAUAUAAAGAAGCGCAAACGAGCGGGCUUUGCCGAGCAACGUCGUCUCGCGGAGCCGCGACCAGGGAGAAUUGAUCGUCGGAUUCUGCUGGCGAAUCUUUUUCGCGUCGUUGGAAUGUUUGGGGGAGGGCAUUGUUACAUUUAGCCGGGCCAAGCCUCCGAACAAUGUCUAGAUCCCGAAGAUAUGCCCUUUUUCAUUUCGCUGGUUCGAUAGGGUAAAUGCAGGCAUUACCGCGGUUUCUCGACGGAGGCGAACCUUGACAGAGAAAAUGAGAUAUUUCGCGCCAAUAAAUCGGCGACUCGAGCUACACCUAUUAUUCUUUAACCGGAGCAUUGACUUUCCUCAAAAUAUAUUGGAUCUGAAAUUCGAUCUGGAAGCACGAAUUUCGUUAACCCCUUGACACGUUAUUUUCUUUGCAGUUAUCGCGAUUAGAAAUUCUUCGAUUGCAAUAAUUGCAAUAAUAAGGGAAAGAAAGUUGAUGCUUAUUGUGCGUCUAAAUAUACUUGAAUGCUCAAAAUAUUGCUGGCAAGAGAUUAGAAUUUUAUUCUAAUUUUAAAGGACAGAAUAACACACACACAUUUAUACAGAAUAAAUUA